rnacentral:rRNA from 1 species
UACAGAGGUGGCAAGCGUUGUUCGGAAUUACUGGGCGUAAAGGGCGCGUAGGCGGCCUUGUCAGUCAGACGUGAAAUCCCCAGGCUUAACCUGGGAACUGCGUCUGAUACUACAAGGCUGGAGUUCAGGAGAGGAAUGUGGAAUUCCAGGUGUAGCGGUGAAAUGCGUAGAUAUCUGGAGGAACACCGGUGGCGAAGGCGGCAUUCUGGACCGAAACUGACGCUGAUGCGCGAAAGCCAGGGGAGCAAACGGG